rnacentral:lncRNA from 1 species
GCUUACCAUACACUGAAUGUCUCUCUCUUGAUUGAAGCACAUUCUCGCCGGUCGCCGGUUCCCGGUUCAUUUUCUUCUUCACUUCUAAGCUUGUCGUUGAUGGAUCUGAGCCUUGUUUUCUGUUUUUGAAUUUUUUUUGGCUGCGUGUUUGCCCGAUGAUGCACAUCACAAACGUGUUGAGCGGUUGCGAAUGGUCGUUUGAGUUCUCGGGAGCCUUCACUCAUCACCACAUUCGCCCCCUCCACCACCACCACCUCCACCUCCUUCGCUAUCUCUUCUCCACACACACACACACACACACACACACACAGAGAAGCGUUGUAGUGGUCUGUGAAGGCUUUUGAUGGACGCCAUUUGCUCUAAAACCGUAGAUGAUUAGUUUAAAGCUAUGAGAUCUGAGGGCUUUUAUCUAAAUAUUCCAUUUUUAAGAGAAACCAAAUUAUGCAUUCUGCCUGAUCAGUUUUUUUGAGAGAAAACCCUUGUCUGCACUUUGCCUGAAACAGUGAAUAUGUUUGACAUGGGUCAUAUUGGCUUUGCAUGUGUGCUUUUUUGUGUCUUUGGGUCUGAUGGAGUUAAGAUAUUUGCUUCUGCACAUUGAAUAGAUAUUUUCUCUUUUCUUGUAUUGAUUGACACGGAUUUUCCAUUAGUUAAAUAGUGGGUGUUUCGUAUUUGUGUUGAAUUAUUUUGAAUGAUGAUAAAUGCACUGGGCUCUGUUUUAUUGAUGGAAAUGCAAGCCUAGAAAGCUUUAUCUAACGCCCUUCUCUUUAUUUUGAUUCAGUUGCUAUUUUGAUUGAGAGUUUUAGAAGAAUUGGUGAUGCAUCUACUUGUGGAAUACAAUGUCCAGGAAUUUGUACUAGUAAACUUAAUAAACAAAAUUUAUACAAUUAAAUUCUAAUUGAAUAUUUUCAGUAAUGAAUUUUUAUGCACAAAAUUUUCCUGCUAACCUGACUUUCUGCCCAAUGAUGACAAUGAAAAUUUACUGAAAUGGUUGCCAGUGUGUUCACUGGGAGCUGUUUUUGCCAUCUUUACCUUACUAUCAGCACUACUAUAUUCUCUUUCACUUAUUUACUCUCUCUCUCUCUCUCUCUCUCUCUCUCUCUCUCUCUCUCUCUCUNNNN